GCGGGAGUGCCGGAGUGGCCAAACGGGUAUGGCUUAGGACCAUAUGGCUUAGUGCCUUCACAGGUUCGAAUCCUGUCUCCCGCA
rnacentral:tRNA from 1 species